rnacentral:rRNA from 1 species
UAAUACGUAGGUCCCGAGCGUUGUCCGGAAUUACUGGGUGUAAAGGGUGCGCAGGCGGUUUUGUGCGUCAGAAGUGAAAUAUCACGGCUCAACCGUGAGGGUGCUUUUGAUACGGCAAGACUUGAGUACGAGAGAGGAUGAUAGAAUUCCUGGUGUAGCGGUGAAAUGCGUAGAUAUCAGGAGGAAUACCGGUGGCGAAGGCGGUCAUCUGGCUCGUUACUGACGCUCAGGCACGAAAGUGUGGGUAGCAAACAGGAUUAGAUACCCUGGUAGUCCACACCUUAAACGAUGUAUGCUUGGUGUUGGGGUAGCAAUAUCUCAGUGCCGAAGGGAACCUCUUAAGCAUACCACCUGGGGAGUACGAUCGCAAGGUUG